rnacentral:lncRNA from 1 species
AGAGAUUCCAGAAGGUGCAGUCACUGUCACUCUAGAAAUAUAUCCUUCCCUGAAAGUGAUUUAUACCACAGAUGCAUAUCGCAGAAGGGAAUGAGGUCAAAGGUAACAUUACCAUCUAUAACUCCCUUGAAAUCAUAAAAGUGAAAGACUCUUUACACAACACUCAAAAUGAAGUGAUUAUGGAAAGUAGAGAUCAGCUUAUAUAUUGGUUGCAUCUGCAGGGUAUUCCACUGAAGGCAGAUGGCUCACAUCAGUGCCUUAAAUAGUACUUGUGAAGAAGGAAAGCAUCACCUGGCCCAGAACAAGAUGUGAACUGGGCUCCCCUGCCACUUCAGUAGAAUAGCACUUCACCUUAGUAAAUUGGAAAAAGUAAAAGUUACAUUACAUGGCCUGGUGCUAGACACAAUAAUUUCUGGGUUUUUUUUUUGUUUUUGUUUUUUUGAUCUUCAUGUUAUCUUUAUUUUUCUGCAUUGUCUUACACAGGGGUAUCUGAAAAGUUGUUUUUAAAUAGAAAUUUUGAAAAUCAUGUAGCAAAUGAAUGGAAAAACUGACUCUUUGAAGGAAGCUAUUGUUAAAAAUUAUUUUAUCAAAUUGGGAAUUUCUUUGGAAAGCAAGUAAUUAUUCUUAUGGGUUGUUCAAUUUGUGAGAGCAAUUCUUAUAUGGUGAAUACAAAUUUUGGAUUUAUAAAAUGCACAUUAGAGAGCCAACCAGUAUUCUCAUUUUGUAGGAAAAAAUAAAAACCCUCAAAAUCAAUUAAAAACCCCAGGUGUUUGCAGAAUUAGAGUUAGUGCCU